UGCCAGCAGCCGCGGUAACACGGGGGGCGCAAGCGUUAUUCGGAAUUAUUGGGCGUAAAGGGCGCGCAGGCGGUCUUGUCCGUCAGAUGUGAAAGCUCGGGGCUCGACCCCGGAAGUGCACUUGAAACAGCAAGACUUGAAUACGGGAGAGGAGAGAGGAAUUCCUGGUGUAGAGGUGAAAUUCGUAGAUAUCAGGAGGAACACCGAUGGCGAAGGCAUCUCUCUGGAUCGAUAUUGACGCUGAGGUGCGAAAGUGUGGGGAGCAAACAGGAUUAGAUA
rnacentral:rRNA from 1 species